CCUACGGGAGGCAGCAGUGAGGAAUAUUGGUCAAUGGACGAGAGUCUGAACCAGCCAAGUAGCGUGAAGGAUGACUGCCCUAUGGGUUUUAAACUUCUUUUAUAUGGGAAUAAAAUGUUCCACGUGUGGGAUUUUGUAUGUCCCAUAUGAAUAAGGCUCGGCUAACUCCGUGCCAGCAGCCGCGGUAAUACGGAGGAUCCGAGCGUUAUCCGGAUUUAUUGGGUUUAAAGGGAGCGUAGGUGGAUUGUUAAGUCAGUUGUGAAAGUUUGCGGCUCAACCGUAAAAUUGCAGUUGAAACUGGCAGUCUUGAGUACAGUAGAGGUGGGCGGAAUUCGUGGUGUAGCGGUGAAAUGCUUAGAUAUCACGAAGAACUCCGAUUGCGAAGGCAGCUCACUGGACUGCAACUGACACUGAGGCUCGAAAGUGUGGGUAUCAAACAGGAUUAGAUACCCGAGUAGUC
rnacentral:rRNA from 1 species